ACCGGUCUCAUCCAGAGCACUUUAAAGAAACCGAUAAGCUCUAUCUCGUUUAACUUGGCCUUUGGAAGACGCUUGUGGAAAUUUCUGCAAAGGAGGUGACAUCAGUUGUUGUCACAGCUGCUGUGAAAAAUACAUACCAUGGUCCUGCUCUGACAGCAUAGGCUCAGAGAAAUGAAGAAGACAAGCAAGUUUUCUACUGUUGUACGCCAUGGAAAGUGGAUGCACAGGUUACCUUUGAGUCCUAAUGAAGGAGUUUGGAGCUGGAGACCACAAUAAGUUUGAAUUAAUUUUGAUGUUUAUUCUGCAGAUUUCCAAGCAUUAUCACACGUUGAUUUCUGAAGUGCUGACCGCUAUAACAAUCCACUGCAGUGGGCAAUUCCCGGCCAUAUGUCACGGUUAUGGAGGUGCUGCAGUCAUGGUGAGACGGGCACUGAACUGGUAGAGCUGUAUCAAGGAGUUCUCAUGAAUUUUCAGCAAUGAGUCCAUAUGGGAAUAAUUUCAUUGUGAGAAGAAGGCUUCCAUUCUGUCAUGAAAAAAGGCUGCAUGAAAAUAACGGAAAGCUACAGAAGAAAGUAUCAGUCAUUGUUUGAAAGCAUUGUGGCCUAUGGAGAUGGAAACCAGAACGUGGAUUUGCCUCCAAAUUUUAUAAGCUUCUAGAAACCCAAAUGAUGAGAAACAAAUGCGAAAAGUUCACAAAGUAGUGGUUGCUUAAAAAAAAAUAAUUCUUAAAGCCCUGUUGCUUUUACGAUGAACAGACCUUGCGAGAAGGUUAUUAAUUAUCUUGAACACCACCAUUUAAACAGGUAGAGCUAUUUCCAGUAUUUUUUGGUUGCCACCUAGAUUAGUAUUAUACUCCUCAGUUGCUAACAAUGAAGUUAUCAGCCACUGGAACAAAUUAUUAAGAGGAACAGUGAGCUUACCAUUUCUUGAGGUCUUCAAACUGAGAGUGGAUGGUAUGCUUUAGCAAACAAUGGCGACACAGCUGGGUUAAAUUAUAUGGUUGUACUAAAGAGAAGGGAACAUGAGAUAUUCUAUGUGGUCCUUUCUAGCCUUAAGAGCUAUAGGUCUGUAAUUUCACAAAUACCAUUACAAAGAACUCCUUAGAAGUAGUGAUGAACAUAGCAGCAAUGCGAAUCCAUCUCCUGAUUUGGGGCAGAUUAUUCCAAAGUAUUUUAAAAAAUUACAGACCGUAGUACUGUUUUUAUAUGUUUCUGUCACUACAAAUCAUAUUACUAGCAUAAUUUUACAAUAUUGGAAAUCCCUUUUUGAGGACUAGAGAGACUCUUCCUCUCCCCCAAAGAGGUCAAUGUACUUCAGUUCAUGAAAGUGUGUAAACAAGUGAGCAUGCAUGCUGCUGCUUUCCUACCUGAUGUAUUUCAGUCAUUAAAAUCUGAAAUAAGUAAGCUAGAUUCACUCGGUGAAAUAAAAGACAAUCCAUGAAGGAAAUUCUAAGAUACUUCUCAUUAUUGCAGACCAUUUCUAAGCUAAACUGUAAUUUUCUCCUCCUUGUAGGGUGAUCUGGCACACUGUUUAAAAGAGAACCUUAAAAGAAGAUUUUUUUUUUUCCCCCAUAGCAAUCCUCCAGUUGAGAACAGCUAAACCAUUUUUUCCCAGAUUUCCAGUGUUUUGGGGCAUUGGGCCCUGCAGAAACUUAAAUCUAGUGGAACAGUUGGAAGCUUGGGAAAGUUGUACCUGACUGAACAGCUGGAGAUGAAAAGAAACAGUUUUUCAAUGUUGAGACAUAUUUUUCUUACUAUAAAGAAAGAAGGAAUUAAGUGACUACGUGCUUGGAAGAAAGACCUUGCCGUUUCAUGAUGGCUCUCAAACAUCAUCUUUAUAACUCCAUUGAACUGUUUCUCUGAUAAAAACCCUGUAGCCUACACUACAAAGGGCUUUGAGUAUAUGUAUAGCAUAUACUGUUAUCAGCAAUCACCACAAUGAUACCUUUUGUGACCACAAAAGGUAUUCCUUCAGUAUGGUUAAACUGUCUCAUUAAUCAUAAGACAAAAUUACUCCUGUGCCAGUAUGUCUUCCACCCACAGAGGUGGGUUUAGCAGCAUAGCUAGGACAGCAUAGUUGGGAUGUCCUAACUAACGCUAGCAGAUCUGAAAAAACAUCAUGAAAAACAGCUUUUCAACUGUUUCAGGGAAAGCUGAUGAUUUUGCGUCCAGAAUGGAGAUGCGUAAUUCCAGAGGCAGAUUUUUAGUUUUUAGGUUGUAGUCAAUGGCUAGUUACCCUUGUUUCUGUGAGUGUCUAAAACUCUCUUCGUGGCUCACUUCUAUAUACGUACGUUGUGCCUAAAUAAAUAUCUGAACUGUCCCUCAGCUGGAAGGCUGUCUGCAAGACAUGCUUUAGCUAAACACAGUGUGUCACUCAGAUACAAUGAAGGGAGCACAAUAUAAGAAAGCUCAGAGGAAAUUUGGUAGCUUGUCUCAUACAGGCAUUCAAAUUGCUUUAUCAAGCAGUCUUUUCUGGUCUUAAGUUCCAUAAAUAUAUAACUUGUGCUGAUUCAAAUAAGUUCAACUUUCUCUUGCUACUGUGUUUUGUGCUCUUGAGAAAAGAUGAUUGGAAAAGCUGGAUGCUGAACAAGAGGAGUGGCCUCUGACUGCUCUUAAGCUUUUCAAAUAUAUUAUCCUUUAAAGAAAAAACAACCCAGUUUGUCAUUACAGUUUCAGCAUCAACAGUGACAUCUAUUUGCCAUGCAAAGGCCACAGUGAAAUACAGGUCUGUAUGUUUAAUUCUUUGAUUUCAUGAAUCUACAAGAAUAAUUUUGGGUUGAUUUGAUGGAAGGAACUCCUCGGUUUUAGUCCCCUAAACACUAUCUGUAUAGCUCUCUUCUAAAAAUUAUAAUGAUAAAAAUAAAAAAAAGGGGGAGGGGAAUAAGAAGUCGCUAAACAUUUGAAAGGUUGGAGGUCUAGACUGUUUCCAUUCAUCAAGGUUGUUCUCAAAAGUAAUUUUUGAGCCACACUGCAAGGAAACUGGGAAGAGCUUGAACGGCUAAUAUUCCCUUUGUUGUGUGGAUAUACAGAAAACAGUUUUCUUGUCCCACAAGGAUUCUGUUGAUUUUGAAAUUUUAGGCCUGGCAUGGGGCUCAGUGAAUAUAUGAGCGACUUAAGAAACAGACAGACAUAUUUCAUUUUAAUGCUUUUUUUUUUUUUAACCUUUUAAUAUAAGCUAAAUUAAGUUUCAACAGGAGAAGAUGCUUUUAACAGCAAAACCAAGAAUUUUUGUUUUAAAAAUGUUGAAAUGGCACAUUUCUAGAAUUUCAAAACCUGUUUUUCCAAUUUUUUUGAGGACAGGAAACUCUUCUGGGAAUAAUUUCAGUUUUGAUGAAUUGUCAGUUGUGACGAUCUCUCGUCUUUUCUACGAAAGGCCUGUUCCCACUCCAAACACUAAACCCAGGCUUCCAAUACUUUCCAGAAGUCUAAGAUACAAUUGCCUUAGUUACCUUACUGACGCAUUACAGUGAGACAUAGAUUUUGGGCAACUAUCUUUAUCCACUGGUGCAAUAAGACAACAGCGAGAGUGUUGUGAUGGUCUUAAUUGGGAUUCUUCUUCUUCUACAAGUACUUGAGAUUGUAAUAGUUCUGUUUUGUGUUUCUACAUUUCACAUACAGUUUCAUGUCAAUUAUUGGUUCACAAUUUGUAAACAAGUAGAUGUGAGUUACAUGUGUGCUAGAAAUUAAUUUCAUUAACACACUGAGUGUUUUUUUCCAUUACAUCUGUCAAGAAGGAUUAUUUUCCUAUAACUAAUGACCUUGGUUGUGUUGAUCUGACAAAAUUUGAUGCCUUCAGUGAAGGAUUAUUAAUGAACACUGCUUUAAGAAGUCUGGAUAGCUCUUAUACCUGGAAAAGAACACUGGAUUUUUUUUCCACUUUUGAUGGAAAUAUUUGUAUAAAUUUGUAUUACCUUAGAAAUAAAUUCCUUUCAUGAUU